UACAGAGGAGCCAAGCGUUGUCCGGAUUGACUGGGCGUAAAGCGCACGCAGGCGGUCGGGCGCGUGGGGUGUGAAAUCUGGCCGCUUAACGGCCAGGCGCCAUCCCAUACGGCCGGACUGGAGGGAUGCAGAGGUCGGUGGAAUUGCCGGUGUAGUGGUGAAAUGCGUAGAUAUCUGGAGGAACACCGGUGGCGAAGGCGACAUCCUGGACCGGCAUUGACGCUGAGGCGCGAAAGCCAGGGAAGCAAACGGG
rnacentral:rRNA from 1 species